CCUACGGGUGGCAGCAGUGAGGAAUAUUGGUCAAUGGGCGCGAGCCUGAACCAGCCAAGUCGCGUGCGGGAAGACGGCCCUAUGGAUUGUAAACUUCUUUUGUCCGGGAGUAAAAGUCGCCACGCGUGGUGUUCCGAGAGUACUCGAAGAAAAAGCAUCGGCUAACUCCGUGCCAGCAGCCGCGGUAAUACGGAGGAUGCGAGCGUUAUCCGGAUUUAUUGGGUUUAAAGGGUGCGCAGGCGGAAGAUUAAGUCAGCGGUAAAAUUGUGAGGCUAAACCUCUUCGUGCCGUUGAAACGGGUUUUCUUGAGAGAAUGAGAGGUAUGCGGAAUGCGUGGUGUAGCGGUGAAAUGCAUAGAUAUCACGCAGAACUCCGAUUGCGAAGGCAGCAUACCGGCGCUCAACUGACGCUCAUGCACGAAAGUGUGGGUAUCGAACAGGAUUAGAUACCCGUGUAGUC
rnacentral:rRNA from 1 species